rnacentral:pre_miRNA from 1 species
UUUGAGAGGUUGAAGCUGCCAGCAUGAUCUGGUAAUGGGCCUAGCUAUCACCCUUUUUUUAUUUUUGUAUUCUUAGGCCUCUUUUAUAGUUUUUGUACAGGUAUGUUAAGUUAGAUUGUUUAUGACCGGUUUUAGAUCAAAAUUCUUUUGAGUCCAAGAUGAGUUUUUUUCUUUCUUUCUUUCAGGAGAAGUUUAUCAAUCAUUUGGUUAAGGGCUUUUAGAGUCUUAGAUUACCAGGCAACUUAGAUGUGUUUAUAAAGAACCCUGCCUGUACUUAAGCUUCAUAGGUUGUCGGUUCAUACUAUCAGAUCAUCUUGCAGCUUCAAUCACUCACU